rnacentral:rRNA from 1 species
UGGGGAAUUUUCCGCAAUGGGCGAAAGCCUGACGUAGCAAUGCCGCGUGGAGGUGGAAGGCCUACGGGUCGUCAACUUCUUUUCUCGGAGAAGAAACAAUGACGGUAUCUGAGGAAUAAGCAUCGGCUAACUCUGUGCCAG